UCCGGUUUAGCGCUUACAGAAGAAAUCGCAGUCUCAUGCACUGUGCCUUGGGCUCCCAUGUGGGGAGAUAGCGGGUCAGCUCAGCAGCUGCAGCAUGCCAUACAUCCUCACUGAGAAGAACCACCAAAAAGGACUUUGGCCUUGGCAUAAUGGAACCUCAACGUGGUGCUGACCACUGAACCCCAAGAUUAAAGCCAACGUGGUGCU